UAACCAUCUUCGUUACAUGAGAGAAAAAAAGAAAAAGAUAGGAGAGUUCAAAUUAAAGGUAAAAUCUUUUUAAAAAAAUGGAUUUGCACGUCUUUGGAAUUUUAUGCAUUGUUUUGGUCCUGACUUCAGGAGCAGUAACAUGUCUGGAUGAUGAUCCGGAGGAUCUGUUUUGUUUAGGACCAUGCUCACCAUUUUGCAACCAUGACUGCAUUGUCCGUGGCUAUAAAUACGGAGGCGCCUGUUUCGCAUAUAUUAUGUGUUGUUGUAAGAAGAAUUGAUCAUGACUACCACCAAUUUGCAACCAAGCAAGAAUAAUGCAACAACAGAUGAUAUAAGAAAAAAGUGCAUGCUUCUAUGGAAUUUGAUGUGUUUUAAUUUGUUGUAAGAAUAAUUGAAUAUUUUGUACCUCUAUCUAAAAUAAGGAAUUGAUCGAUCGUCUAAAACUGCAUGA